AUCGCUUCUCUGCCUUUUCGUUAAGAUCAAGUGUAGUACCUGUUCUUAUCAUUUGAAUAUUUGAUUUGUCCCCUUUGAGGGACUUCAUAUUAAAUUGCUUUUUGGAACAGGGAGAAGAGAUUCAGAGCUUGCUCUGCCCACUCUGCGUAUCAACCUGGUGUUGCAGUAUAUCUGGGACUGGUGUACCUACC